rnacentral:rRNA from 1 species
GACGAACGCUGGCGGCGUGCUUAACACAUGCAAGUCGAACGGAAAGGCCCUGCUUGCAGGGUACUCGAGUGGCGAACGGGUGAGUAACACGUGGGUGAUCUGCCCUGCACUUCGGGAUAAGCUUGGGAAACUGGGUCUAAUACCGGAUAGGAACCAUCUUUAGUGUGGUGGUUGGAAAGUUUUUUCGGUGUAGGAUGAGCUCGCGGCCUAUCGGCUUGUUGGUGGGGUAAUGGCCUACCAAGGCGGCGACGGGUAGCCGGCCUGAGAGGGUGUACGGCCACAUUGGGACUGAGAUACGGCCCAGACUCCUACGGGAGGCAGCAGUGGGGAAUAUUGCACAAUGGGCGCAAGCCUGAUGCAGCGACGCCGCGUGGGGGAUGAAGGCCUUAGGGUUGUAAACUCCUUUCGCUAGGGACGAAGCUUUGUUGUGACGGUACCUAGAUAAGAAGCACCGGCUAACUACGUG